rnacentral:rRNA from 1 species
UACGUAGGGAGCGAGCGUUGUCCGGAUUCAUUGGGCGUAAAGAGCUCGUAGGCGGCUUGGUAAGUCGGAUGUGAAACCUCCAGGCUCAACCUGGAGUCGCCAUCCGAUACUGCUAUGGCUAGAGUCCGGUAGGGGCCCACGGAAUUCCUGGUGUAGCGGUGAAAUGCGCAGAUAUCAGGAGGAACACCGAUGGCGAAGGCAGGUCUCUGGGCUGACACUGACGCUCAUGCACGAAAGCCGUGGGGAGCAAACAGG